UACGUAGGGGGCAAGCGUUGUCCGGAUUUAUUGGGCGUAAAGAGCGUGUAGGCGGCCAUUCAGGUCAGCUGUGAAAACUCGAGGCUCAACCUCGAGACGUCGGUUGAAACCGUUUGGCUAGAGUCCGGAAGAGGAGAGUGGAAUUCCCGGUGUAGCGGUGAAAUGCGCAGAUAUCGGGAAGAACACCCGUGGCGAAGGCGGCUCUCUGGGGACGGUACUGACGCUGAGACGCGAAAGCGUGGGGAGCAA
rnacentral:rRNA from 1 species